UAGGUGAUGUGACUCUUUCCAGGGUCCUCCUGUCAGUGGGUAUUGUGCCCAAGAUGUAAUUGUGAUGCAUCACUGGUCCUAGCACCUAACUGAUGUGACUCUCCUCUCCUUCCAAAGCCCUGCAUUUAUUGUUUAUUGUGACAUAUUUUCAAAACCUAGGUUAGGCAACUCUUUUGCAUGCGUCCUGCUAAUAGGGCUAUUAUGACAUAUUUUUUUUUCACCUAGGUGAUGUGACUCUCCCUUUCUGCCUAAACACUGUAAAAAGGGGAGAUCGUGACAUAUCACUGGACCCAGCAUCUAGGUGAUAUGGCUCUCCUUUUUCACCUUGGCUUCUUGUAUUUUGGGUAUUAUGACAUAUCACUGGGUCAAACCAAAGGAGGGGGAGGCUCUUGCCUAGGCCCUGCCCACAGGAGACCUUGAGACAGAUCUCUGCAUCCAUCACUUUGGAAGUGUGACUCUCCUCUUCUGGCUGCUCCAUGCCCGCACAGAAGACUGUGAUAUAUCUCCGGGUUCACCAACCAGGUUCUGCCAAAACAAGUGAUUGCAACAUAUAAUUGGACCAGCAACUAGAUGAUGUGACUCUUCUCUUCUGCCUGAGCCCUGGAUAUACUGUGUAUUAUGACACAUGGCUGAGUCCAACAUCAAGGUGAUGUGACUGACCACUUCUGCCUGGGCCAUGCCGAAAAAAGGAGAUUGUGACAUAUCACUGCAUUCAAUACCUAGAUGAUGCUCCAUGACAAGUGGCACCAACAACAGGGACUUCAAGGACGUGACGAAGAAGGUCUGCUAGAGCAGAGGAAGUGAAAUUUACCAGAUGAACCGGGACCCCAGGACGAGUCUGUCAGCAGGGAAUAUAAGCUCGAGCUGAGCUUUUGAUUGCUGUCCACCACUGCUAUUUGCCGCCAUUGCAGACCUGCCACUGACUUUCAUCCCUCCAGAUCCAGCAAGGUGUCCACUGUGCUCCUGAUCCAGCAAGGCACCCAUUGCUGCUCCUAAUCAGGCUAAAGGCUUGCCAUUGUUCCUGCAUGGCUAAGUUCCUGGGUUCAUUCUAAUCAAGCUGAACAGUAGUCACUGGGUUCCAUGGUUCUCUUCCAUGACCCAUGGCUUCCAAUAGAACUAUAACACUCACCUCAUGGCCCAAGAUUCCAUUCCUUGGAAUCCGUGAAGCCAAGAACCCCAGGUCAGAGAACAUAAGGC
rnacentral:lncRNA from 1 species